AGCGUACACGGUGGAUGCCCUGGCAGUCAGAGGCGAUGAAGGACGUGCUAAUCUGCGAUAAGCGUCGGUAAGGUGAUAUGAACCGUUAUAACCGGCGAUUUCCGAAUGGGGAAACCCAGUGUGAUUCGUCACACUAUCAUUAACUGAAUCCAUAGGUUAAUGAGGCGAACCGGGGGAACUGAAACAUCUAAGUACCCCGAGGAAAAGAAAUCAACCGAGAUUCCCCCAGUAGCGGCGAGCGAACGGGGAGCAGCCCAGAGCCUGAAUCAGUGUGUGUGUUAGUGGAAGCGUCUGGAAAGGCGCGCGAUACAGGGUGACAGCCCCGUACACAAAAAUGCACAUGCUGUGAGCUCGAUGAGUAGGGCGGGACACGUGGUAUCCUGUCUGAAUAUGGGGGGACCAUCCUCCAAGGCUAAAUACUCCUGACUGACCGAUAGUGAACCAGUACCGUGAGGGAAAGGCGAAAAGAACCCCGGCGAGGGGAGUGAAAAAGAACCUGAAACCGUGUACGUACAAGCAGUGGGAGCACGCUUAGGCGUGUGACUGCGUACCUUUUGUAUAAUGGGUCAGCGACUUAUAUUCUGUAGCAAGGUUAACCGAAUAGGGGAGCCGAAGGGAAACCGAGUCUUAACUGGGCGUUAAGUUGCAGGGUAUAGACCCGAAACCCGGUGAUCUAGCCAUGGGCAGGUUGAAGGUUGGGUAACACUAACUGGAGGACCGAACCGACUAAUGUUGAAAAAUUAGCGGAUGACUUGUGGCUGGGGGUGAAAGGCCAAUCAAACCGGGAGAUAGCUGGUUCUCCCCGAAAGCUAUUUAGGUAGCGCCUCGUGAAUUCAUCUCCGGGGGUAGAGCACUGUUUCGGCAAGGGGGUCAUCCCGACUUACCAACCCGAUGCAAACUGCGAAUACCGGAGAAUGUUAUCACGGGAGACACACGGCGGGUGCUAACGUCCGUCGUGAAGAGGGAAACAACCCAGACCGCCAGCUAAGGUCCCAAAGUCAUGGUUAAGUGGGAAACGAUGUGGGAAGGCCCAGACAGCCAGGAUGUUGGCUUAGAAGCAGCCAUCAUUUAAAGAAAGCGUAAUAGCUCACUGGUCGAGUCGGCCUGCGCGGAAGAUGUAACGGGGCUAAACCAUGCACCGAAGCUGCGGCAGCGACGCUUAUGCGUUGUUGGGUAGGGGAGCGUUCUGUAAGCCUGUGAAGGUGUGCUGUGAGGCAUGCUGGAGGUAUCAGAAGUGCGAAUGCUGACAUAAGUAACGAUAAAGCGGGUGAAAAGCCCGCUCGCCGGAAGACCAAGGGUUCCUGUCCAACGUUAAUCGGGGCAGGGUGAGUCGACCCCUAAGGCGAGGCCGAAAGGCGUAGUCGAUGGGAAACAGGUUAAUAUUCCUGUACUUGGUGUUACUGCGAAGGGGGGACGGAGAAGGCUAUGUUGGCCGGGCGACGGUUGUCCCGGUUUAAGCGUGUAGGCUGGUUUUCCAGGCAAAUCCGGAAAAUCAAGGCUGAGGCGUGAUGACGAGGCACUACGGUGCUGAAGCAACAAAUGCCCUGCUUCCAGGAAAAGCCUCUAAGCAUCAGGUAACAUCAAAUCGUACCCCAAACCGACACAGGUGGUCAGGUAGAGAAUACCAAGGCGCUUGAGAGAACUCGGGUGAAGGAACUAGGCAAAAUGGUGCCGUAACUUCGGGAGAAGGCACGCUGAUAUGUAGGUGAAGCGACUUGCUCGUGGAGCUGAAAUCAGUCGAAGAUACCAGCUGGCUGCAACUGUUUAUUAAAAACACAGCACUGUGCAAACACGAAAGUGGACGUAUACGGUGUGACGCCUGCCCGGUGCCGGAAGGUUAAUUGAUGGGGUCAGCGCAAGCGAAGCUCUUGAUCGAAGCCCCGGUAAACGGCGGCCGUAACUAUAACGGUCCUAAGGUAGCGAAAUUCCUUGUCGGGUAAGUUCCGACCUGCACGAAUGGCGUAAUGAUGGCCAGGCUGUCUCCACCCGAGACUCAGUGAAAUUGAACUCGCUGUGAAGAUGCAGUGUACCCGCGGCAAGACGGAAAGACCCCGUGAACCUUUACUAUAGCUUGACACUGAACAUUGAGCCUUGAUGUGUAGGAUAGGUGGGAGGCUUUGAAGUGUGGACGCCAGUCUGCAUGGAGCCGACCUUGAAAUACCACCCUUUAAUGUUUGAUGUUCUAACGUUGACCCGUGAUCCGGGUUGCGGACAGUGUCUGGUGGGUAGUUUGACUGGGGCGGUCUCCUCCUAAAGAGUAACGGAGGAGCACGAAGGUUGGCUAAUCCUGGUCGGACAUCAGGAGGUUAGUGCAAUGGCAUAAGCCAGCUUGACUGCGAGCGUGACGGCGCGAGCAGGUGCGAAAGCAGGUCAUAGUGAUCCGGUGGUUCUGAAUGGAAGGGCCAUCGCUCAACGGAUAAAAGGUACUCCGGGGAUAACAGGCUGAUACCGCCCAAGAGUUCAUAUCGACGGCGGUGUUUGGCACCUCGAUGUCGGCUCAUCACAUCCUGGGGCUGAAGUAGGUCCCAAGGGUAUGGCUGUUCGCCAUUUAAAGUGGUACGCGAGCUGGGUUUAGAACGUCGUGAGACAGUUCGGUCCCUAUCUGCCGUGGGCGCUGGAGAACUGAGGGGGGCUGCUCCUAGUACGAGAGGACCGGAGUGGACGCAUCACUGGUGUUCGGGUUGUCAUGCCAAUGGCACUGCCCGGUAGCUAAAUGCGGAAGAGAUAAGUGCUGAAAGCAUCUAAGCACGAAACUUGCCCCGAGAUGAGUUCU
rnacentral:rRNA from 1 species